rnacentral:lncRNA from 1 species
UGUGAUGCAUUUAGUUUUUGAACACAUACGGCUUGUAUUUAUCCAUGCGCAUUCUUAUGGUCUCGGAUGUUACUGUUUGUAUAGCAUGAUUCCACGUUUGAGUAUGCAGCAUGAUUCCAUACUGAGAUGCCACCUUGGAAGGUUGUGGAUCAAUAUCUAGUUUGUCAUUACAAAAUUGUCUGAUGGUUGUUUGAGUUGCUGAUUCAGGAGUUCCAAUCAAUACUUCAGGGAUAUGUACUGACUUUAGCUUUGUUGGGCCAACUGUCGUACUGACUGUCCUAGCAAAAAAAGAAACUGUGGUACCGCCCCAUCGGUUCUCUUCCAAAUCCUUAAAUAGGGUUAUUUCUCCCUUAGAAUUCGCUCGGUUUCCAUCAGUCUCAUACUACCUUUUUUUCCUGCUAAUAUAACGAUCCUGUGCUUGUCCUCGAUGGUACUUUCCAGCUGAACAGCCACAAAAACGUUAAAGCAAGGAGUUCUUUACCGCUCGAAGCAUUCUGAAUGCCCAAGGUUGAUGUUAUAAAUGUCUUCAACCAAGUCAGCAGAAAACCUCGAGCUUUGACGCCAUCUCGGUAUCUUUUUGCUGGAGGAAAGUUUAUUUAUAGUCAGUGCUCUGAAGGAGGGAGCAUUUUUCACCAAAAAAAAAGAGAGGAGGGAGCAUGCUAGGAUGGUAACAACAUGAAAGGGAGUGAGCGUGUAAAAUGAGACUUAUAACAGUAUACAAGGAAGUUGUGUUAUAAUGGUAGAAAUGGUGGUUUUAUAUUUAUCACCUCAACCAGAUGCAAUCCAUUGGCACAGUAAUGUAGACUCAAAGGUGAUCAUGCUUGUCAGCUUGUCACAGUUCAGGACGUGACCUAAAAAAACUAGCUAAAAUAUAUUGUUUGAAUUUUUUUCGGACCUAGUAUAAAUAUUCAAAAUCUAUCUAAUAAUAGCUAAUAUGAGACUAAAUACAUGCUCAUACGAAUCCUUACAUACUCUCUCCAUUUAAACUCUAACAUCCUCGCCAAUCUAUGGUCACCUUAAUAAGCCCAUGGUGCAAUAUCUCCUGAUCCAUAUAGAACUGAUACCAUUUAUUACAACUCAGAACUUCAUCAAAAAAAGACUAUUUGAUAUAUAUUAUUUAGAUUUCUUGGUUUUAUAUAAAUACUAAAGAUCUACUUAGCAUAUAGCCGAUGGGAGACUAAAU